GGGCCGGGCAGGGCCGGGGGCACGGGGGCUGUGGGGCCAUGGCGGGCCGCGGGUCCGCGUCCUCGGAGCACCUGGAGCGGCUGCACGAGAUAUUCCGCGGGCUGCACGGAGACCUGCGGGGCGUCCCCGAGCGGCUGCGGGGCAGCGCGGCCGAGGAGAAGAAAAAACUGGUUCGAGAAUUCGAUGAGAAGCAGCGUGAAGCCAACGAGACGCUGCGGGAAAUGGAGGAAGAACUGAAGUACGCUCCUGUGCCUUUCCGCAAUCAAAUGAUGAGCAAAAUCCGAGCAUACAGAAGAGACUUGUCCAUGUUCCAGAGAGAGAUGAAAAGCACAGAUCUGGGAUUGGGCCGUGGAAACCAAGGCGAUACAAAAUACGGAAUCUUCGCCACAGAAAAUGAGCAGAGUACUAAUCUGCAGUCACAGAGGGUGCUGCUUCUCCAGGGCACAGACAGUCUGAACCGAGCCAGUGAGAGCAUCGAGCGCUCGCACCGAAUCGCUGCUGAAACCGAUCAGAUUGGCACAGAUAUCAUCGAGGAACUUGGGGAGCAGCGGGAGCAGCUGGAACGCACCAAGAGCAGGCUGGUGAAUACAAGUGAGAACUUGAGCAAGAGUCGCAAGAUUCUACGCUCAAUGUCCCGGAGAGUAACCACAAAUAAGUUGUUGCUGUCAAUUAUCAUCAUCCUGGAACUGGCCAUCCUAGGAGGUGUGGUCUACUUCAAGUUCUUUCGCAAGAAAUGAACAUUCAUGACCAAGAUGAGCUUUUCCACUGAUGAGGAAUAGGAUGGGCUAUCUGCUCCCUUUGACUGUCUGAGGGCUGAACUGAGUCAUGAGACAGCACAUUCAACAGAAACUGUACUGACACUUGAAAGACAGAGAAUGGGAGUAAAAAGAAACAGGCUUGAACUACUGAAAGCCAGGGUGAAGGCUGAAACACUGAUGUGCAUGGCAGCUAGGAUGGAGGAAGCACCGAGCUCAAGGAUUUCACUGACAGUUCAUCAAGAUGAUCAUUUUUCAGGUCAAUUCUUAAAGGCUGUCUCCAAACACUGCCAUGUAGCCUAACUGCUGAAGUAGUAAAAUAUAAUCUCAAACCUAAAAUGUUAGUUACUUACUAUAUCAUCUGCCAGCUGAUGACAGCUUAAUAAACUGGACACUGCUUGUCACUCAAAUGAAUUACUGAAGUGGCAGACUGCGUACUUCCAACUUACUGCAGAUGCUCAAUAAGGAAAGCAUCUGGAUUAUCAUCUUCUUUACUUGGCACAGCUGCAGCUAGGAAGGGUGCGCACAGCUUUAGAAAACAGCAGCCUGCAGCUGCAGGUUCUAACCUGUAGGAGAGGUUACCCUUUCUAACUGACCUUCUUUCAGCUCCUAGACUAGCAUGAUUUGCUCCCUGACCUGGUUCCCCAAACUUGAACAAGGGUGCAGUAGUGAGCUGCAGUAAGGGAGUGGUUAAAGUGAACUUUCCCAGUUGCACUGGCACUGGCAGCUGCCAUCAGGACAUUGUGUGUGAGUGGUCUAAGGAGGAAGCCAUCAAAUGCUUCCGCCUCCCAUACCAAUAGCUCGUUUCAAGUUACUGUCAAGUUUCUGUAUGUAUUUCUAAAAGUAUAAUGUGCAUCCUGCACUCCGAGUUGAUUCAAACAUCUUGUCAAACUGCAGAAAACACAGAAUUACUUAACAGAACCAAAUAGUAUAAAACAGAGCCAUGACUGUAGUGAGUCAUGUAACCUGUCUCAGCCAUCUGCCAAAGACUGUGAAAUGGUUCCAGUGCUGAGACUUUCCUAUAUACAGGACACUGUCACAGUUCCAUACAGCCACCUUACAUCAAGUGACCUUCAUUUAAAUGACUUUCAGGAAACCAGAUGUAGUUUAAAUUAGAUAA